rnacentral:lncRNA from 1 species
GCUGGGGCACAGUGAUCGGUGGAAGACCCACACGUACCUCUCAAGUUAGAGGAGAAAUGAGGUAAUUGACACAAACCAUAGUGCCCACAGCUGUGCUCCACCAGGCUAGUGGGCUGGCAAUGGCUCUUUGAAGGUGAUCUUACUUAUGUUUUUCUAUUAAUUAUCCUUGUCAUGUUCAAGGACAGAAUUGGACUCAGAGGGUGUGGCUCAGUGGUAGAGCCCCUGCCUAGAAUCUCCCAGUGAGGGGCUGGGGGCAUGGCUCAGUGACCAAGUCCUUGCCUAAUAUGUGCAAAGCCCUGUGUUUAAUCCCUAACACCACAAAAAUAAAACAAUAAAAAACAUACACGCUGU